AGAUUGAACUGAAGAGUUUGAUCAUGGCUCAGAUUGAACGCUGGCGGCAGGCUUAACACAUGCAAGUCGAGCGGUAACAGAGAUAGCUUGCUAUCUGCUGACGAGCGGCGGACGGGUGAGUAACGCGUAGAAAACUGCCCAGUAGUGGGGGAUAGCCCAGAGAAAUUUGGAU
rnacentral:rRNA from 1 species